rnacentral:rRNA from 1 species
GGGUCUGGCGGCGUGCUAUACAUGCAAGUCGAGCGAACAGACGAGGAGCUUGCUCCUCUGACGUUAGCGGCGGACGGGUGAGUAACACGUGGAUAACCUACCUAUAAGACUGGGAUAACUUCGGGAAACCGGAGCUAAUACCGGAUAAUAUAUUGAACCGCAUGGUUCAAUAGUGAAAGACGGUUUUGCUGUCACUUAUAGAUGGAUCCGCGCCGCAUUAGCUAGUUGGUAAGGUAACGGCUUACCAAGGCAACGAUGCGUAGCCGACCUGAGAGGGUGAUCGGCCACACUGGAACUGAGACACGGUCCAGACUCCUACGGGAGGCAGCAGUAGGGAAUCUUCCGCAAUGGGCGAAAGCCUGACGGAGCAACGCCGCGUGAGUGAUGAAGGUCUUCGGAUCGUAAAACUCUGUUAUUAGGGAAGAACAAAUGUGUAAGUAACUAUGCACGUCUUGACGGUACCUAAUCAGAAAGCCACGGCUAACUACGUGCCAGCAGCCGCGGUAAUACGUAGGUGGCAAGCGUUAUCCGGAAUUAUUGGGCGUAAAGCGCGCGUAGGCGGUUUUUUAAGUCUGAUGUGAAAGCCCACGGCUCAACCGUGGAGGGUCAUUGGAAACUGGAAAACUUGAGUGCAGAAGAGGAAAGUGGAAUUCCAUGUGUAGCGGUGAAAUGCGCAGAGAUAUGGAGGAACACCAGUGGCGAAGGCGACUUUCUGGUCUGUAACUGACGCUGAUGUGCGAAAGCGUGGGGAUCAAACAGGAUUAGAUACCCUGGUAGUCCACGCCGUAACGAUGAGUGCUAAGUGUUAGGGGGUUUCCGCCCCUUAGUGCUGCAGCUAACGCAUUAAGCACUCCGCCUGGGGAGUACGACCGCAAGGUUGAAACUCAAAGGAAUUGACGGGACCCGCACAAGCGGUGGAGCAUGUGGUUUAAUUCGAAGCAACGCGAAGAACCUUACCAAAUCUUGACAUCCUCUGACCCCUCUAGAGAUAGAGUUUUCCCCUUCGGGGGACAGAGUGACAGGUGGUGCAUGGUUGUCGUCAGCUCGUGUCGUGAGAUGUUGGGUUAAGUCCCGCAACGAGCGCAACCCUUAAGCUUAGUUGCCAUCAUUAAGUUGGGCACUCUAAGUUGACUGCCGGUGACAAACCGGAGGAAGGUGGGGAUGACGUCAAAUCAUCAUGCCCCUUAUGAUUUGGGCUACACACGUGCUACA